rfam:Lemur catta clone LB2-246N5, complete sequence.
GACUUACAUGUAUUUGAGUACUCGCUGUGUGACAGGCACACGGCUGAGGGCCAUUUACAGUCUCACUGUUAAGCACUUUGACUCCUAAGAAACUUCCUACAGUUCACAUCAU